AGGAAAAAAAAAUACAGUUCUUCUCUUUUGCAUCGCAUCUAAUCUGAAGCAAGUUCUUCUCUUUCACCGUCUCUUCUUUCGAACCUUCAUCGCUGAUGUUCUUGGGUAAAUCACUGAAUCUAUUUGUUAGCAUCCUGUUUGGAUCUUUGGAUUUGGAUUUGAGGGGCCAAAUCCAAAUCCUUUGUUUGGAUAUCUUAAAAAGAGAUGGAUUUGGAUUUGAUCCAAAUCCAUCCAGGAUUUGAGGCAUCCAAAUACCUUGAUUUCAAAGCCUCUCAUGUUCUUCUUCAAGGAAACGCUCUCUUCUACGUUCUGAAACUGUAGCCACCAUCAUUCCUAGGGCUCCAGGUAUGCUAGUUCGUAGGCUUGGACCCUGGUUAGCUUCAAACUCCUUUCGUUUGUUGUAGAACACUGCAGAGUCAUACAGGCAAGGAGCUAAAUUUGGUAAUGGAGAGCUUCCUUCAAACCAAAUCUCAGUGAAUUAUAAGUUUCUAUAGCUUCUGAGCAACUAUUUGAGCUAAUUGGCUACAACUAUGAUAUUUACUUGUAAAACUACUAAGUAGUUGAUGAGAAAAUUGUUGCAGAAAUAUUGAAUGUAAUUUUUAAGUAUUGAUAGCAUCGCAUUUUGGCAGACUUCGAAAUCUAAAAUUAUUUUGAAAUGCAGUCAUAACUUGCGGCU